rnacentral:tRNA from 1 species
CCAAAAUGCAAGUUUGGAGGAGCACACAGGGUGUGCCGGGGCUUCUCCCGUUU